rnacentral:rRNA from 1 species
AAUGAACGCUGGCGGCGUGCCUAACACAUGCAAGUCGCACGAGAACGUUUCAGCUUGCUGAGACUAGUAAAGUGGCGCACGGGUGAGUAACGCGUGGGUAAUCUACCUCCGAAUUGGGGAUAACAUUGCGAAAGCGGUGCUAAUACCGAAUAAUAUCCUCAGGACUCCGGUCUUGGAGAUCAAAGGUGGCCUCUACAUGUAAGCUACCGUUUAGAGAUGAGCCCGCGUACCAUUAGCUUGUUGGUAGGGUAAUGGCCUACCAAGGCUUCGAUGGUUAGCGGGUCUGAGAGGAUGAUCAGCCACACUGGAACUGACACACGGUCCAGACUCCUACGGGAGGCAGCAGUGAGGAAUUUUGCGCAAUGGGGGAAACCCUGACGCAGCAACGCCGCGUGAGUGAGGAAGGCCUUCGGGUCGUAAAGCUCUGUCAAGUGGGAAGAAACUGCCCUAUGCAAAUGCCAUAGGGUAUUGACGGUACCGCUGAAGGAAGCACCGGCUAACUCCGUGCCAGCCGCCGCAGUAACAC